rnacentral:rRNA from 1 species
GGCUUAAAGAUUAUAAUUUUAAGUCAAUCUGCCCAAUGAUUUUAAUUAAAUGGCUGCAGUAUACCUGACUGUACAAAGGUAGCAUAAUCAAUUGUUUUUUAAUUGAAAACUUGUAUGAAAGAAUUAAUGAGAUAUAUACUGUCUCAUAUAUAUUAAAUAAAUUUAAAUUUUUAGUAAAAAUGCUUAAAUAAUUUUACGGGACGAUAAGACCCUAUAGAAUUUUAUAUUUAAAUUUUAUUAAUUAUUUAAUUAAAAUUUUAAUAUUUAAUUGGGAGGAUUAGUAAAUUAAAUAAACUUUACUUUAAAAUUAAACUUUGAUUUAAGAAUAAAUUUUGAUCUUAUAUUAUAAAUCAAAAAAAUAAAUUACCUUAGGGAUAACAGCGUAAUAUCUUUUUAAAGGCCAUAUUGAUAAAGAUGUUUGCGACCUCGAUGUUGAAUUAAGAUAAAUUUUAAAUGGAGAAAUUUAAAAAUUAAGUCUGUUCGACUUUUAAUAUCUUACAUGAUUUGAGUUCAAAUCGACGUAAGU